UUCCGGUUGAUCCCGCCGGAGGCGACCGCUUUGGGAGUUCGAUUAAGCCAUGCGAGUCGUGAGUCUUAGGGACUCGGCAUACUGCUCAGUAACACGUGGAUAACCUGCCCUAUCGUCUGGAAUAACCUCGGGAAACUGAGAAUAAGGCCGGAUAGUUCACAAUGCCUGGAACGGUUUGUGAAUCAAGGUAGGAUGGGUCUGCGGCGUAUCAGGUUGUAGGGGGUGUAAAGGACCCCCUAGCCUUCGACGCGUACGGGUGUUGGGAGACAUAGCCCGGAGAUGGAUUCUGAGACACGAAUCCAGACCCUACGGGGUGCAGCAGGCGCGAAAACUUCACACUGCAGGAAACUGUGAUGAGGGAACUCCUAGUGCAUGCACUAUGUGUAUGUAGAUCCUACUCUUAACAAGUAGAGGGAAAGGGCUGGGAAAGACCGGUGCCAGCCGCCGCGGUAAUACCGGCAGCUCAAGUGGUCGUCGCUUUUAUUGGGCCUAAAACGUCCGUAGCCUGUUUGGUAAAUCUGUGGGUAAAUCAAUCCGCUCAACGGAUUGAAUUCUGCAGAGACUGCCAGACUAGGGACCGGGAGAGGUGUGGGGUACUCGAGGGGUAGGGGUAAAAUCCUGUCAUCCUUCGAGGACCACCAGUUGCGAAGGCGCCACACUGGAACGGAUCCGACGGUCAGGGACGAAGCCUAGGGGCACGAACCGGAUUAGAUACCCGGGUAGUCCUAGGUGUAAACGCUGUGAACUUGGUGUCGGGGGUCCGCAAGGGGUCCCCGGUGCCGGAGUGAAGAUGUUAAGUUCACUGCCUGGGGAGUACGGUCGCAAGGCUGAAACUUAAAGGAAUUGGCGGGCAGCAC
rnacentral:rRNA from 1 species